rnacentral:pre_miRNA from 1 species
GCUGCUUGAGGAGAGGUAAUCCCUCAUGCAUUUGCUUGACUUGCAAUGGUUAUACAAGGGCAAACUCUCUCUGGGGAGC